UACGUAGGGUGCAAGCGUUGUCCGGAAUUAUUGGGCGUAAAGAGCUCGUAGGCGGCUUGUCACGUCGGCUGUGAAAACCCGGGGCUCAACCCCGGGCCUGCAGUCGAUACGGGCAAGCUAGAGUUCGGCAGGGGAGACUGGAAUUCCUGGUGUAGCGGUGAAAUGCGCAGAUAUCAGGAGGAACACCAAUGGCGAAGGCAGCACUCUGGGACGUGACUGACGCUGAGACGCGAAAGCGUGGGGAGCAAACAGG
rnacentral:rRNA from 1 species